AGCGUAGGCGGUCAAGCAAGUCAGAGGUGAAAGGCAUCGGCUCAACCGAUUUAAGCCUUUGAAACUGUUUGACUUGAGUGCAGGAGAGGUAAGUGGAAUUCCUAGUGUAGCGGUGAAAUGCGUAGAUAUUAGGAGGAACACCAGUGGCGAAGGCGACUUACUGGACUGUAACUGACGCUGAGGCUCGAAAGCGUGGGGAGCGAACA
rnacentral:rRNA from 1 species